rnacentral:rRNA from 1 species
UACGUAGGGUGCAAGCGUUGUCCGGAAUUAUUGGGCGUAAAGAGCUCGUAGGUGGCCUGUCGCGUCGGCUGUGAAAACUCGGGGCUCAACCCCGCGCUUGCAUUCGAUACGGGCAGGCUCGAGUUCGGUAGGGGAGACUGGAACUCCUGGUGUAGCGGUGAAAUGCGCAGAUAUCAGGAGGAGCACCGGUGGCGAAGGCGGGUCUCUGGGCCGAUACUGACGCUGAGGAGCGAAAGCGUGGGGAGCGAACAGG